UAACUGCGAGGCAGGGGAUGGAGCACUCCCUUGGCCUGGUUGCGCUGAGGAAGGAGUUGUGGUUCAUCUGGAUGCUGCCGACUGGAUAGGAUUUAGGAUUUGCCUGGAUUAAGGUCAUCAAAGCCGAAUCCGAACUUGAAUUCUGUGCGGCGGAUUGCAGAGAUGUCUUCAGGCCCUGAGGACUGGGAUCUGCGACCCCCAGUGAACAAAAGUCGGCCGUACCCCAGAGGCUAAUUUUCUCACGGCAGCACCUGUUGCAGAGGCUGCAAGUAAAAUAAAGGCGAACGCUAGUUUCCGAGCUCAUGUAAGAA
rnacentral:sRNA from 1 species